rnacentral:rRNA from 1 species
UACGAGGGGGGCAAGCGUUUGUUCGGAAUUAUUGGGCGUAAAGGGCGCGUAGGCGGUGCGGUAAGUCUGAUGUGAAAUCUCCGGGCUCAACUCGGAGUCUGCAUCAGAAACUGCCGUGCUCGAGUGUGGGAGAGGUGAGUGGAAUUCCCGGUGUAGCGGUGAAAUGCGUAGAUAUCGGGAAGAACACCCGUGGCGAAGGCGGCACUCUGGGACGGUACUGACGCUGAGACGCGAAAGCGUGGGGAGCGAACAGG